rnacentral:lncRNA from 1 species
GAGGCUGUGGAACAGCAAAUAUUGCAGAACAGAAAAUACUGCUGCCUGAUCCUUCCUCUGGAAACUUCGUCCUAGAGUGGCACCCACCUACAUGAGAAUCAUAUCUUCGCAUCUGAAAGAAGGCAACAGCAUUGAGCAACAAUCUGGGACUCUAUUUGAUAUCUUCCCUUGAGAAGUGUUAAAUGUUGCCAUAAUCUUGACAGUUCAAAAGUUAGUCAUGUGGUUGAUAUUUUACCAAUGAGAUGAAUGUGACUGUAAUAUGGGCAAAUCCCACCUACCAUAAAAGCUGGCAAUACUUGCCUAAUAUUGAAGGAAGGAGACAUUUAGAGCAAGCCAGGAAGCUGGAACACCGGAUCAGGAACAGACACUUCUCCGCAAGUUUAGAGUUUGGUAUUUCUCAAGUCCUGGCCUGAGGGAUGUUUACUCUCAGGUUAUACAAAGUCCCAGCUUGGGUUCUGGAAAAAUUGAACUGACAACUUUGCCUGAAAGAAGUUUCUUGCUAACUCCUAGGUACAUCUUGAUUUUAUUAGACCAUGGCUAUUAUUGUGAGGUUUAUUCAGAGCAAUGAAGAUGUCACUCACCGUGUCAAAUUCAUAGGUAUGGUGGCCUUUAUUACCUGGCAACAUGCAUUUUGUUAUACAUCAAAUCCAUGUAGGGCCAUAUUAUCUGGAUCUCAGAUGUUACUGAGAAAUGUUGUAAGGUAAAUAGAUUUUUUGGGGAAUAUCUUGGACUUAGCACACUUUACUUAAUAGAAAUAUAUUUAUUGUCUUCACUUUUAAGUUACUCUGCCACUUUGCCAUUCAACCUCUAUUGGCUCUUUAUUAACUUCAAUUAGAUUUUUCCUUCUCUUUUCCUUUAGAGAUAAAAUUAAAUAAAAAUAAAAACUUCUAAAGCAAACUCUAUUCCUUUAUAAAUACUGUCUAAACGUGCCAGUGGUGUGUCCAAUUUUAGACACAAGAGCUUAAAGUUGAAUGCAAAUUUUGAUUUUCUUUAUAAAUGAGAUGAUGAAAAUCUAUUGUGAAAAGGUUAUGAGAAAAAAGCUUAUCUUGUAAUUGCAGCCAAGAUCCAAGCCAUUAUUUAAGACGUGAAGCAUUUGGCAACAAAGAGAUUGUUGUCAUUAAAAAGGAAGCCCAACGCAUUAUUCUUGGGCUGAGAAAAAAUAAUUUAGCUGUCAUUGUUAUUUAAGGAGUAACACCGGAAGAUGGGAGACAUUAAAAUAAGCAGCUUUACCUCAAGAAGUGUAAUAUCUUCUUUUCCCUCUAAGAUGCAGAGGUAGUUAAUAAACAUUUGAUGAUUGAUUUAAACAUAUUAGAGAGAGAUUCACUUGUUAGUAUUUAUCAUCUAGCUAAAUUGUAUUUUUUUAAUGUAUACAACUGAGAUGAAGCCAAUAGAACUUUACCACAGUGGUUGUAAAGAGAUAAGAAAUUAUUAUUUCUCAUUAUACCAUCAGCAGACUGAGGUCUGUAACUUGAUACUUAUGCAAAAGAUUACUAAAUUGGUAGCUAUUCUUAUAAAAUAUUCACUUUAGGAAAGAAGGUGAGAAUGAGGCCACUGACGUCAUCUUGGCUUGGUUUACUUAAGCCUGGGCAAAGAGGGAAAAGGGCACUGGAGAUUU